AAGCAAAGCCUCUCCAUG
rnacentral:misc_RNA from 1 species